rnacentral:rRNA from 1 species
UACGAAGGGGCUAGCGUUGCUCGGAAUCACUGGGCGUAAGGCGCGUAGGCGGCGUUUUAAGUCGGGGUGAAAGCCUGUGGCUCAACCACAGAAUGGCCUUCGAUACUGGGACGCUUGAGUAUGGUAGAGGUUGGUGGAACUGCGAGUGUAGAGGUGAAAUUCGUAGAUAUUCGCAAGAACACCGGUGGCGAAGGCGGCCAACUGGACCAUUACUGACGCUG